rnacentral:rRNA from 1 species
UACGUAGGUGGCAAGCGUUGUCCGGAUUUACUGGGCGUAAAGAGCGCGCAGGCGGUCGUUCAAGUCGCGUGUGAAAGCCCCCGGCUCAACUGGGGAGGGUCACGCGAUACUGAUCGACUCGAAGGCAGGAGAGGGUAGUGGAAUUCCCGGUGUAGUGGUGAAAUGCGUAGGAUAUCGGGAGGAACACCAACAGCGAAGGCAG